rnacentral:rRNA from 2 species
AGUCAGCGGCGGACGGGUGAGUAACACGUGGGCAACCUGCCUGUAAGACUGGGAUAACUCCGGGAAACCGGGGCUAAUACCGGAUAAUUCUUUCCCUCACAUGAGGGAAAGCUGAAAGAUGGUUUCGGCUAUCACUUACAGAUGGGCCCGCGGCGCAUUAGCUAGUUGGUGAGGUAACGGCUCACCAAGGCAACGAUGCGUAGCCGACCUGAGAGGGUGAUCGGCCACACUGGGACUGAGACACGGCCCAGACUCCUACGGGAGGCAGCAGUAGGGAAUCUUCCGCAAUGGACGAAAGUCUGACGGAGCAACGCCGCGUGAGUGAUGAAGGUUUUCGGAUCGUAAAACUCUGUUGUUAGGGAAGAACAAGUACCGGAGUAACUGCCGGUACCUUGACGGUACCUAACCAGAAAGCCACGGCUAACUACGUGCCAGCAGCCGCGGUAAUACGUAGGUGGCAAGCGUUGUCCGGAAUUAUUGGGCGUAAAGCGCGCGCAGGCGGUUCCUUAAGUCUGAUGUGAAAGCCCCCGGCUCAACCGGGGAGGGUCAUUGGAAACUGGGGAACUUGAGUGCAGAA